rnacentral:tRNA from 1 species
GCCUGGGUGGCUCAGUUGGUUAAGCAUCUGACUUUGGCUCAGGUCAUGGUCUCAUGGUUCUUGGGUUUGAUCCCCACAUCGGGCU